rnacentral:ncRNA from 1 species
UCCUCGGUGGAUCAAUUCGGUCCGCCACCGCCAUGACGGCGACAGGGGAGGAAGCCCGGUGUGAAUCCGGCGCGGUCCCGCCACUGUGAGUCCGGCCCUCCGGGGUCGGACGAGUCAGGAACUCCCGCCGUCAGACACCGCCCGGG